rnacentral:rRNA from 1 species
UUCAAUCAAGCCAUAUAUGAGAAAUCAGCGUUCAUGCUCAAGCUACCCUCUACUACGAGCCACCAAUCAUAGGACAAUCAAAGAUCCAGAUGUCUACUUACGCUUCAUAAACAUUCAAUAAUUUUCCCAGCAAUAAAAAAGAGAGAGAGAUCAAAAUGAGAAUGAGAAUGAGGGGUCGGGACGGUCAGUUACCUGAGCACGAUUUGGUGGCGUAUAUUUUGAGCAGAAGGACUAUGAUGCUGAACAAGUGGGUCAUAUCACCCGCGAACCUGAAGAUAUUCAUGGUUUCUGAGGUGAAAUCAGCCCGAUUCCUGCCCUAGAUUUUAGCCUCUGAGACAGAGAGAGGGAGGGGGACGCAGAGGAUGGAUUGGAAAUGAAUGCAGAUUGACGGCUCGUUAUUUUUGUCGCGAUGAGUGUGAAUUGAGACAGAAGAAGAGCUGACGUGGCGUCUAGAAACGGCUUCUGCCACCACGACUUCAGGACUUUCAGCUCUCGGGUUUUACCCGCGGGACACUCGGGCCCUCCGGAGGUAACCAUACUCCGUUUUUAUUAUACAGUAAUAUAUACCAACCACUAGGGGCGUUUUUUAUUAUUCGGUUCGAUUGAUUUUUUUUAGUGAAAAUCGAAUCGAACUGAGCCAAAAUUAAAUUUCUAUUCGAUAAUAAAAUUGAACCAUAAAUAUUAAAAGAAUCGAAUCAAAUCAAAUCAUGAGUUUCAGUUCGGUAUUAUUAUUUAAAAAUAAUUUUUUAAAUGAUACUAUUGAAAAAAUAAAUAUAGAAUUAAAGUUUUGUUUCGGUUCAUCUUGGUUCAGUUCAUUUUACAAGAAAAAAUAUAUAUAUAUAUAUAAUAAAAUAAUAAUAUAAUUUUAAUGUUUCGAUUCGGUUCGAAAACCACUAAAAUUUUGAACCGAACCGACACUUCGGUUCGGUCGAUUCGGUUAGGUUUUGAACACCUCUACCGACCACGUAACUUAUCAAGUUUUAAGCAACCAAAUGACGUGACAAUCAUUUAUAAGUUAUUUUAUCAAAUCAUUUUAAUGAGUCAUCAAACACCAACCUAUAAAUGAUUGUCACAUCAUUUAAUCACUUAAAACUUGAUCAAUUACUUAACCACUCUAGAAUUAAUCUUAUAAAAAUUUACAAUAAUCAUUGUUGUGUGUUGUUAAAGUAAUCAGCUGUAUUGUUAAGGGGGAAGCCCAUCUGAUAGCACAAACCGCGCGACUUUGAAAGGGAAUCGGGUUAAAAUUCCUGAAUCGGGACAUGGCAGCGGACGACAACGUUAGGGAGUCCGGAGACGUCGACGGGGUCUUGGGAAGAGUUAUCUUUUCUGUUUAACAGCCUGCCCACCCUGGAAAUGGCUCAGCCGGAGGUAGGGUCCAGCGGCUGGAAGAGCACCGCAUGUCGCAUGGUGUCCGGUGCGCCCCCGAAUACCCUUAAAAUUUUGGAGGACCGAGUGUCAUACACGCCCGGUCGUACUCAUAACCGCAUCAGGUCUCCAAGGUGAACAACCUCUAGUCGAUGGAACAAUGUAGGUAGGGGAAGUCAACAAAAUGGAUCUGUAACCUCGGGAAAAGGAUUGGCUCUGAGGGCUGGGCACGGGGGUCCCAGUCCCAAACUCGUCGGUUGUCGGUGGACUGCUCAAGCUGCUCCCGCGAUCGUCGCGUGCUGACGCGGGGACAGACUGGGAAACGGUCCCUUCGGGGUCCUUCCCCGAGCAUUGAACAGUCAACUCAGAACUGGUACGGAUAAGGGGAAUCCGAUUGUUUAAUUAAAAGCAGAGCAUUGCGAUGGUUUCUGCGGAUGCUCACGCAAUGUGAUUUCUGCCCAGUGCUCUGAAUGUCAAAGUGAAGAAAUUCAACCAAGCGUGGGUAAAUGGCAGGAGUAACUAUGACUCUCUUAAGGUAGCCAAAUGCCUCGUCAUCUAAUUAGUGACGCGCAAGAAUGGAUUAAUGAGAUUCUCACUGUCCCUAUCUACUAUCCAGCGAAAUCACAGCCAAAGGAACGGGCUUGAAAAAAUCAGCGGGGAAAGAAAACCCUAUUGAGCUUGACUCUAGUCCGACUUUGUGAAAUGACUUGAGAGGUGUAGGAUAAGUGGGAGCCAGAAACGGUGAAAGUGAAAUACCACUAGUUUUAACGUUAUUUUACUUAUUCUGUGAAUCGGAAGUGAGGCAUUGCCUCUCUUUUUAUUCCCAAGGCCUGCUACUGUGGGUCGAUUCGGGCGAAAGACAUUAUCAAGUGGGGAGUUUAGGUGGGGCGGCACAUAUGUUAAAAGAUAACGCAAGUGUCCUAAGAUGAGCUCAACGAGAACAAAAAUCUUGUAUGGAACAAAAAGGUAAAAGCUCGUUUGAUUCUGAUUUUCAGUACGAAUACGAAACGUGAAAGUGUGGCCUAUCGAUCCUUUAGAUCUUCAGAAUUUGAAGCUAGAGGUGUUAGAAAAGUUACCACAUAGAUGAUUGGCUUGUGGCAGCCAAGCGUUCAUAGCGACGUUGCUUUUUGAUCCUUUGAUGUCGGCUCUUCCUAUCAUUGUGAAGCAGAAUUCACCAAGUGUUGGAUUGUUCACCCACCAAUAAGGAACGUGAGCUGGGUUUAGACCAUCAUGAGAUAGGUUAUUUUUAACCUACCAAUGACAGUGUCGCAAUAGUAAUUCAACUUAGUACAAGAGGAACCGUUGAUUCACACAAUUGGUCAUCGGGCUUGGUUGAAAAGUCAGUUGUGCGAAGCUACCGUGCAUUGGAUUAUGAAUGAACGCCUCUAAGUCAGAAUCUGGGCUAGAAGCGACGCAUAUGCCCGUCGCCCGAUUGCCGACCCGCAGUUGGGGUUUUCAGGCUCCCAAAGGUGCGUGUAGUUGGUGAAGCCUUCUCGACGGACGAGUCAAGUUGGCCGCCUUGAAGCAUAAUUUCCACCGAGUGGCGGGUAGAAACUUUUGCAGAUAACUUAAAUACGCACGGGGUAUUGUAAGUGGCAGAGUGGUCUUGUUUCCAUGAUCCACUAAGAUUCAGCCCUAUGGCACUGAGAUUCCU